AGCGAACGCUGGCGGCAGGCCUAACACAUGCAAGUCGAACGAACUCUUCGGAGUUAGUGGCGGACGGGUGAGUAACACGUGGGAACGUGCCUUUUGGUUCGGAAUAACUCAGGGAAACUUGUGCUAAUACCGACUGUGCCCUUCGGGGGAACGAUUUAUCGCCAUUAGAGCGGCCCGCGUCGGAUUAGCUAGUUGGUGAGGUAACGGCUCACCAAGGCGACGAUCAGUAGCUGGUCUGAGAGGAUGACCAGCCACACUGGGACUGAGACACGGCCCAGACUCCUACGGGAGGCAGCAGUGGGGAAUCUUGCGCAAUGGGCGAAAGCCUGACGCAGCCAUGCCGCGUGAAUGAUGAAGGUCUUAGGAUUGUAAAAUUCUUUCACCGGGGACGAUAAUGACGGUACCCGGAGAAGAAGCCCCGGCUAACUUCGUG
rnacentral:rRNA from 1 species